rnacentral:rRNA from 1 species
UACAGAGACUGCGAGCGUUAUUCGGAUUCACUGGGCGUAAAGGGUGCGCAGGCGGCCAAGUGUGUGAGGCGUGAAAGCCCGGGGCUUAACCCCGGAAUUGCACCUCAAACUACAUGGCUAGAGGAUUGGAGAGGGUAGCAGAAUUCACGGUGUAGCAGUGAAAUGCGUAGAUAUCGUGAGGAAUACCAGAGGCGAAGGCGGCUACCUGGACAAUUGCUGACGCUCAGGCACGAAAGCGUGGGGAGCAAAAGGG